rnacentral:rRNA from 1 species
AUUGAACGCUAGCGGCAGGCUUAACACAUGCAAGUCGAACGAGUGGCGGACGGGUGAGUAAUGUCUCGGAAACUGCCCAAUGGAGGGGGAUAACUACUGGAAACGGUAGCUAAUACCGCAUACCAUCGGAUGUGCCCAGAUGGGAUUAGCUAGUAGGUGGGGUAACGGCUCACCUAGGCGACGAUCCGUAGCUGGUCUGAGAGGAUGACCAGCCACACUGGAACUGAGACACGGACCAGAAUCCUACGGGAGGCAGCAGGGGGGAAUAUUGGACAAUGGGGGAAAGCCUGAUGCAGCCAUGCCGCGUGUAUGAAGAAGGCCGUCGGGUUGUAAAGUACUUUCGGCAGGGAGGCGGUAUUUGCAGAAGAAGCACCGGCUAACUACGUGCCAGCAGCCGCGGUAAUAC